rnacentral:misc_RNA from 1 species
AGGUGGCAGCCUGCUUGCCC